GGGUGAUUAGCUCAGUUGGUUAGAGCGCUACACUGAUAAUGUAGAGGUCCCAAGUUCGAAUCUUGGAUCACCCACCG
rnacentral:tRNA from 2 species